UGACACAGUUAGCUAAAAAAAGCCUGGAAAACACAAGGUCUACAGGUGUAUCCAGCAGCUACGGAGAAACAGCGACCAGCGAGAACGGGCCAUGAUGACGAUGGCGGUGUUGUCAAAAAGAAAAGGGGGAAAUGUAGAGAAAAGAAAGAGGGAUCAGACUGUCACUGUGUCUAUGCAGAAAGGAAAGACAUAAGAGACUCCAUUUUGAAAAAGACCUGUACUUUAAACAGUUGCUUUGCUGAGAUGUUGUUGAUUUGUAGCUUUGCCCCAGCCACUUUGACCCAGGCACUUUGGCCCAACUUGGAGCUCACAAAAACAUGUGUUGUAUAAAAUCAAGGUUUAAGGGACCUAGGGCUGGGUAGGACGUGCCUUGUUAACAAAAUACUUACAAGCAGUAUACUUGGUAAAGGU
rnacentral:lncRNA from 10 species